AAGCAUACUAACCCAUGGUUAUGGUCUCUACUUGGAACUUCCAAAUUUAGAUUUCCUCAAGUCUUUGUGCAUACAAAUAUUUUUCUUUUGGGAUACAUAAUAGGAGUUUAGUUAAAUGAGUCUUGCAGAGAGCUUACUUGUUUUGUUUUCUAAUUAUGAUGAGCUAGUUUUGUUUACAAAUCAAUAUGAUUUAUUAUUAUUAUUAUUAUUAUUAUUAUUAUUUGGAUCCAAUCAGGUUUGUUGAUAUCAAUUUUAAAGCUGAGAGGAAGUGCUUUCUCUUUUACUCAACAGAAGCAGAUUGUUGAUAUUGGCAAAACUCUGCCAUUAUUCAUGGAGCUUCAAACCUUAGGUGACAGGAUGUGAAGAACCAUGCUCUGCAAAGUGUCUUGUUUUCAAUGUUGCAGGUGUGUGGCACUUAUUAAAAGCUUCUUCAUGAGAAAGAAGAUGUAUGAAUAUGAUGGAGUUUGUAAUUUGUAGUUUAUAUUUUGGAGAUUUAUAAUUCCUUAUUUUUCUUGUCCUAUGUAUCUAUCUAGUUCAUUAGGGUUCUCC